rnacentral:sRNA from 1 species
UUCUAGCCCCGAUGGGAACGACAUCCUUUUUUGUUUUUGGUGAGGGAAUCUGAUUCGGGGAAAACAAAAAAGAUAUAGUGGACAACGGGAAAUAGC